rnacentral:tRNA from 5 species
GGGUGAUUAGCUCAGCUGGGAGAGCACCUCCCUUACAAGGAGGGGGUCGGCGGUUCGAUCCCGUCAUCACCCACCU